UAGAAGAGUUCACCAACUUUUUAAUGUUUCAUUUCUUCUAUCACUUUAAAUGUGAUAAUUCUGCUUAACCAGUCCAGUUCAAGGCUACAUCAGUGUGUCCCAACAUGUUCAUCCUGGCACACCACCAUGUUCCUUUGUGUGGAGGUGUAGCUUACUUAAAUUAUUUUUUGUUAAAAUGUUUAUUUUUACCUGGAACUGAAAUUAAAGGCUUUUUUAUCUACAGCAAUUUAAACUCUGGUCACCUUUUGGCAAGCAUAUGUCAGAGAAGAGAGGCUGCUGCAUGCACCAAAGCUAACAAUGCCAAGAGAAGUGACCCAUCUGUAGCUUUUCUGAUCUUCUUGGCUUACACUUUCUGUGCUCUCCACAGCUCUCUGCUGCAGAUUAUGAUGUCACACUUUAGACUCAGUGAGGAAUUAAACAAAAUGUUGCGAUUCCAAGUGGAGGUGCAGUGGUCAGCUUUUGAAUCGAUGCCCACACUCAGUCCAUGAACUUCAAAUGAUUUACUGCUCAUUCCUGAAGAGACGCACAGCUCUAAAGAUCUGCCUGGGAUUCCUGCCUGCUCUACGGCCUGGGAGGACUUCUCUCUGUAGCCCUAGUCACUGGAUGGACACACAGAUUCCCAAAUUCUUAGCCCUUAAGGGAAUUGCUCAGCUUGAUUUGGGAAAGUGCAAGCUGAUUGGUGGAAAAACUAAGGAUAACAAGGAUGUGGAUGGUGGAAAAGACGAAAAUAAGGAAUUCCACGAGGAGCUGAGUUUACACGAGUUGCCUCCCAAAAAAUAAAAGUGGGCUGAAGGUAUGGGAGUGCAUUAAAUGGCAGGCAAAGUGGAAGAACAUAUUUGUUUCUUUCUUUUGAAAAUAGGCACUGCUCAUAUAAAGCCUGUGAUGGACACUCAGAGAUAAGUCAUUUCCAUGCAUCCACUCCUUUAACCCAUCGACACAGAUAAGGAGAGCAUCAGAGAAACGUCAUUUGGUCUAAAAAGAAUGACAUAGCUGGGUGUUCUCUGCAUACGAGUGAAAGCUGAUGUGAUGUUUUCGAAAGAUAGUUCCCAUCAUCUUCUUCUUCUUCUUUCGGCUGCUGCCGUUAGGGUCUGCCACAGUGGAUCAUCUGUCUGCAUAU